rnacentral:rRNA from 1 species
UUCCUACGGGGGGCAGCAGUGGGGAAUAUUGGGCAAUGGGCGCAAGCCUGACCCAGCAACGCCGCGUGAAGGAAGAAGGCUUUCGGGUUGUAAACUCCUUUUGACAGGGAAGAGUAGAAGACGGUACCUGUCGAAUAAGCCACGGCUAACUACGUGCCAGCAGCCGCGGUAAUACGUAGGUGGCAAGCGUUGUCCGGAAUUACUGGGUGUAAAGGGAGCGCAGGCGGGAAGCCAAGUCAGCUGUGAAAACUACGGGCUUAACUUGUAGACUGCAGUUGAAACUGGUUUUCUUGAGUGAAGUAGAG